CAAAAAGUAGCUUAUAAAAGCACCUAGCUUACAACUAGGAGAUGUCAAACACUACGACCUUUUUGA